GGAUGCGAUCAUACCAGCAUUAAAGAUAUGGAUCCCAUCAGAACUCUGAAGUUAAGCGUGCUUGGGCCAGAGUAGUACUAGGAUGGGUGACCUCUUGGGAAGUCCUCGUGUAGCAUUCC
rfam:Triticum aestivum genome assembly, contig: Triticum_aestivum_CS42_TGACv1_scaffold_393665_5AS